rnacentral:rRNA from 1 species
CGGGUGAGUAACGCGUGAGGAACCUGCCUCAAAGAGGGGGACAACAGUUGGAAACGACUGCUAAUACCGCAUAAGCCCACAGCUCGGCAUCGAGCAGAGGGAAAAGGAGCAAUCCGCUUUGAGAUGGCCUCGCGUCCGAUUAGCUAGUUGGUGAGGUAACGGCCCACCAAGGCGACGAUCGGUAGCCGGACUGAGAGGUUGAACGGCCACAUUGGGACUGAGACACGGCCCAG